GCCGGGCAUAGUGGCGGGUGCCUGUAAUCCCAGCUACACAGGAGGCUGAGGCAGGAGGAUCGCUUGAACCCAGAAGGCGGAGGUUGCAGUGAGCUAAGAUUGCGCCACUGCACUCCAGCCUGGGUGACAGAGCAAGACUCUGUCUCAA
rnacentral:SRP_RNA from 2 species